rfam:Oryza meridionalis cultivar OR44 (W2112) chromosome 8, whole genome shotgun sequence.
UCUGGUGUCCUAGGCGUAGAGGAACCACACCAAUCCAUCCCGAAUUUGGUGGUUAAACUCUACUGCGGUGACGAUACUGUAGGGGAGGUCCUGCGGCAAAAUAGCUCGAUGCCAGAA